AGCCUAGACAUGCAUAAAAGAAAGUGCUGCAGUUUACAUUGUAAUUAGAUAUUAUGUAAUAUGCAUUGCGUUUAGUUUACCAAAUUGAGCCAACAAUGCAUGAUUUGUCGUUUGCCUUCUUGACAGAUCCGUUCAACACCAGCCAAUUGGAGUUCCACAGACAGCAGGAUUUUCUUUUCAACCUUUGCAGCCUAACAUCUUAACGACACCGUUUUUGACACUGUCUUCUCCGUACCAGCGCAGGCAUUGCCUUUGAAUGAUUAUUUGCACUUUGAACAAUUCUGCGAGAUCUUGAAUCUUGAUAAUGCAUCAAACAGUUUUAUUUUUUUGUACAGCUCUAUUUAGUAUUAAAAAUAGUUUCACAUUAUCGUAAAUAUAUAUGUAAUUAGUGAACAGUUUCUACAAAAAUAUUUGAUCUCAUUGGGGUUUGUAAUUUUAACAAUUACGUCUUUUUAGGGCGUCAAAAUAAUCAAACGUGAUGUAACCCUAAUAUAGGGGGUGCCUCUUUCCCAUCCAUCGCUACUGGAAAUCCUGUUUCUGAAAGUGUAUUUUGUGAUUUUCUUCGGAAGUGUAUAUCGGAAUUCAUAUUUGAAGGCGGAGCAGUAGCUCCCGGAGAAAUGCUUAUAUAUUACCGUACGAAAAUUUACGGAUGCGUGUGAAUUGUCAUUAUGCACGCGCUAAAUUUCACAAAUUAAAAUAAAAUAAAUCAAGACUAAAUUAAAACCCAGUCUUCUUCCCUUCAUUUUUAACCCACCGCUUUUGAAUGCCUUAACCCACCAUGUGACAUGUAUAUUAAAACCCCUCAUUUGUACAUCUGUCCUUUUUUAGGUGCAGAAAGAAAGUAUUCUUUCCACUUGAUAUUAUUGUACCUGCACCUAAACUAAAACCCCUUUUUCUUCCCCUUUUAUCUCCAAUGGCUCUUACCACACCCCAAACGUACAACAAUGUUUGUAGUGUGCUGAGCUAUUUUUCAAUUUUUCUUAAUUCAGAAUUUAAUCAUUUUUCAUAAUAUAAAUGAUUUGAUUUGAUUUGAUUUUCAUGUGGAUUUUUUGGAAGUUUCAUAUUGAUGAAUGAGUAAUUUUAGUGUGAUAUUGUUUUAUCUACAAACCAAUGUUAUGUGAUAUUGUACUCUUUUGGUGGUGGAAUUCAAAGGAAUGCUUGGUGAGAUGAGUAGUAGGUGUUGGGGCUGUUUAUCUGCUGGAUUUUGUCUUUUGAUGGUGGUGCAUGUUGUUUAUUGGCACUGAAGGUGGGUUUUGACAGUGAGGUUGGGAUACUCAUUUGUGUUUCGAUAUCAGCAAGAAAGCUUGCUGCCUGCUGUUGUUUUUCAGGCAUGUGUGCGGCCUGGAUUGAACUUGUGUUGGGCUGUUUUGUGUUAGUUGUGUGUUGUUUUGGUUUCGGCUGUGUUGCUGUUGCAAGCCUGCAAGUGGUUUCCUUUGGACAGAACUGCAGCGCGUGCAAAUAUGUUACUUUCACGCGUCCGUGAAAAUUCUUGCGCAAUACGUCCGUACAAAAUAGCAUUUUCCAUAAUUGAAUGAUUUCUUGUCAAAAAAAAAAAAAAUAAUUAAAUGAUUUGACUAAAUUCUUUAUCAUUUAUUUUGCUUGAGUGUGACGAAACACAUUUCAUUUAUAUUUGUGUUCAAGACUAGCUCAUAAAAUGAUAUGACAAUAAUAAUGCGAUAAUACAUUAUUGAAUAAACGCGUAAAUUUCAAUUCAUAUUAAUUAAUCUAUAAUAGUUUAAUAAUUAAAAAACAAAAAAGGAAUUUAUUUUAUGUGACUGCUUAUGCUCCAUUUACCCUAUUUACCUUUAUUGAUGUGUAACAUGUUGUAAAAUAAUAUCUAAUGGUUGAAAUUAAAAAGGUACAUGUAAGUUAUAAAACAAAACCCCUAGACUAGCAUUGUUCACUUUCAUCUUCAAUUAACAUUCGUCCAACCCCUUCCUGCAUACAACUUGUAAGUCGUCGCUCACCGCUGCCAAUUACUCCAUUGCCGCCUCUCGCCGCCGCCAAUUACUCCAUCUCCGCCUACCACAUCUCUUGCUCUCAUCGUCGCUCACUGCUGUCCAACCGCCGCAUUUUGGCGUUAACGAGAAACGAAUUUGGCUGAGUUUGGGAAUCGCCAACAGAGUAGUUUUCAAAAUUUCCUUUAAUUCAUUGCAUCUGCAUUUGCGUGGAAAUUAAAUAUUCAGGAAAUAGGUUCUGGAGAAUAAAGUCGUCGCACAUCCACAAAGGUAAAUGGGGCAAAGCCAUUUACCCGUGCUACCAUCUUUCCUUUUUUUCUUCUCUAUUUUUCAACCAUGUUUAGCGGAAAGAAAAGCAAAGAUCGUCGAAAGAUCGAUAUGAAAAAAAUGUACAUUGAUAGAAAUAUUCAAGCGAGAGAUGAGGAAAAUAAGAGUACUAAUAAGAGCUUUGUUUAAAUUAAAGCAUUAUUACUAUUAAAGGCUAAAGUUGCUGCUAAGGAGCAACAGUAAUAGCUGCCUUUAGCCUAACUUCUUGACGACAUCAUUUUUUACACUGUCUUCACUUUUCAACCCGUGCAUUGCCUAUUUGAACAAUUCUGCAAGAUCUUGAAUCUUGAUAGUUGAUAAUGCAUCAAACAGUUUUUUUUACAACUUUGUUUAGUAUUAUUAAAAAUAGUUUCAUGCUUAUUAUCGUAAAUAUAUAUGUAUAUAAUUGCCAAACAAUUUAUAUAAGGAUAUUUGAUCCCACUGGAGUUUAUUAUUUUAAUAACUUCUUUAGGACGUAAAAAUAAUUCAAAUGCGAACUUAACCCUUAAUAUAGGGGGUGUGUCUUUCCCCUCCCUUGAUGCGGAAAACUCUCCAUGUUUCUGAUAGUGUAUUUAAUGAUUUUUUUCUAGAUGUGUGCAUUGGACAUAUAUGUGUAGCCAUUGUCUUACUAGUUCGCCAUUGUCUUACCCCACACAUAUUCUCAACAUCAAAAUAGAUUUUUUUAACUUUAUGAGGAACAAAGAGAUGAGGAAAUCAAUGAAUUUAAUUGCUACUAUACAAGCCUACUACGCUAGCAUGUUGUUGAUUUGCCGUGUGGAAGCAAAACAAAAGCCAUAAAUUGAGGCAUCUAACAAUUGUUGUCCUAUACCAUGCUUUAAAUUCAAGUAUGGAUACCAUUCUAUUGGUCGAGUAGCUCUUGUAAUACCUUUCUUGUUUAGUGGGUGAAAUAUAUUUUGUACUUUUCCCCUUUCAAACACAAGUCGAUUUCAACAAACAUGCAAGAUUUUCACACCCUUUGCUGGAAGGGUAAUGAGAUUUAUACAAUUAUUUUGCAACUAUUUUUGUUUAACUUUUUUUAUUUGUUUGUAUUUUUUAUUGAUAAAAAACAAUAGAUAGAUAAAAAAUGAAGAGUCACGAGAGUAUGAGAGUGAAUUAUUUAAAAUAGUUAUAUAAAUAUCAUUAUUUCCCUUGUUGGUAGAAAACAUGACAUCCGUGGAAGGAAGGAAAGAAAUCUAACAAACUCUUUGUAUUGAUGAAAAUGGAAUAUUACAAAUGAGUGAAAAAGUAUCCCUCUAAUAGGGUGGUUACAGGUUAUUUAUACUACUCUCUGCUAGGACUAAUAUGUCUCUACUUGUAAAAAAUGAUUUAAUAAAAAUUGAUUUCCAUUCCCAUAGAAAUUCACCCCAUCCCUAAUAAUGGUAGACAUUUGACAUUACUCCCAUAGUUAAUACUCCAUAAUGGCUUGUUUCAAUUUUAUACUACAGAUUGAAUUUUCAGCUGCCACUUUUUUAAAUUAAGGUGACAGCAGCGCAUAUGCUAAAUAAAUUUCAGCUGAACCAGCAAGUUGCUUGAGCUCCAGUGGCAAGAAGUUUCUUUCAAAAACAUACCUGGAAUACCGGAUUCGAAUCUAAGGGGGAACAACACUUGACCAGUGCACAUACCUCUACGCAUGAGCCAAAUUAGUCAUCCACCUUUGGUGGGUCGGAAACCUGCGGAAAAAAAAUAAAAAAUUCAGCUGCCACUAAAUUUCAUUUAUAGAUGUUUCAGACACACUAAAUUUCCCUCAUUCACACUAAAUUCAAACACGUUUCAGGCACAUACAUAACUCAAAUUUUGAAGAUCCGAUGCUUGUUGAGGAGGAUGAUGAUUUCAACAUUAUCUUUUGUUUGGUCAUUCAUCAGCCAUAUAUAUUUACGUUGACCGUGAUUUCCUUGAUUAAUCGGACUCUUGAAUAUGGAGAGGUUAGAAUGUUUCUAUCUUAAUAACUGUUCCAAUUCAAUCUAUUUGGCCUUCAAGUAUCUUAGUUGAAUUUGUUCAAAUCACACACAAGAUUCUCAUUUUUGUUUAUUAUUUGCAAUCUUUUUGACAUGCAAAAGACGUGAAUGGUGAUUCCUUAUGAAUUAAGAUAGUGAAAACUGAACUUAUGUGAUAUGUUAUAUAUAGGGACAGAACCAAGGACUAAAGAUUUCUCUAAGGCCAUUUACACAAUUGAUAUUGCACAAAAUGAUAUUGGCUUUGGUCUGCAGAAGUCUUCAGAGGAACAAGUUAGAAGGUCAAUUCCUGACAUCUUGAGCCAAUUCUCCCAAGCAGUGCAGGUAAUUAGCAACCACCAAAGAAAUUAAGCCUUGUUGAUGCAUUAUUAUCAAGUUUGGCAAUUGGUUUGAUUACGGUUACAUUGCAGUAUGAUUGCACCAAGUUGAACAUCUAUUGGUUUAAUCAAUUUUUUAAUUUUUUUUUUCCUUUUGUAAUACUUGUCAUCUGGUUCAAUCGUGGUUUAGCCAAUAAAACCAACACUCGGAAGUAUAACAGGUACAAUCUCCAAUCCAAUUAUUAUAUAGCAAUUUGGUUUUAGAACAGAACUAAUACUUGUCAUUACUCUGUUUUAGAUUCACAACGAACGGGCAAGAGUGUUUUCGAUUCACAAUACAGGUCCUAUUGGAUGCUUACCCUAUGAUAACAUCUAUUAUCCACACAAGAAGGGGAACUUGGAUGCCAAUGGUUGUUUUAAACCUCACAACGAGCUUGCUCAGGAAUAGAACAGGCAGCUAAAAGACAAGCGUUUCAGCUAAGGAGAAAGUUUCCAUUAGCCAAAUUUACAUAUGUUGAUGUUUACACAGUAAAAUAGAAACUUAUCAGCAACGCAAGGAGCCAGGGUAAUGUUCAAGUCUCCAAAAGCACACAUCAUUGACUAGAAUGCAAUGUUUUGGUCAAGGUUUUAAAUUGCGAUCCAAUCAUGGUCAUGUUUGCAUCUGAAUCUUUGUUAUUGCCGAAAAUCGCACACAACUGUGCUUGAUGUGGCCUCAACGGUGUUCGCGUUGUGGUCACAAAGACAUAAAAAAAACUUUUUUUUCGCAGCUCGUAUCACAAUCGCUAACCUUUUUCUUAAACCUUGGUUUUGUUAUAAUCUUUAAAUUAGCUAGUGCUUAUUGAAUAUCAAUUUUUGUAUAAUUCGUAACAAGCGGACCUAGCCAGUGCACAAUUAAGUUUUAAUUUUUAAUCUUGCAUGAUUUGUGGUAGGUCUUGUGAAUCCAUUGGAAUUUUGCUGUGGAAGUUACUAUGGUUACCACAUAAAUUGCUUGUUGAGGAGGAUGAUUUCAACAAUAUCCUUUGUUUGCUUGUUCAUCAGUCAUAUAUAUUUACAACGACUGUGAUUUCCUUGAUUAAUUGGUUUAAUGGAUAUGAAGGUUAGAACGUUUUUAUCUUAAUAAUUGUUCCAUAAUUUUUUUAGCAACAUAGAAUCACACGUUUUGUUGAAUAGAUAACACUUUGUUGUCAGCAUCGUGCUUUUUUUUUCCUAUUCAUUUUUCAUCAUUGCAACAAUUCUGACGAAUGGGCUCCAAUUCUGACCGUUCUUUACAAUUUUAGUCUUGGUUUGGUUUUUCCUCUCUAUUUGUUUGAUUUUAUUUUUGUUUCAAUUGAUUUUGCCAAUUCUGUCUUUAUUCCUGAUUCGUUAUUUUUUCUAUUCUGACUUCAUGUCGCUGAAAUAUUCAUUUCAUUUUUUUGUUGAUUCAUAUUUUAGAUUUCGUUUAAAUGAGAUUUUUUCUUCUUCUUCUGUGUUCGUAUUCUUUUGCACGCACAGAUAAAUAUUUUAGACAACUAUGAGCAAAAACUUCAUGCAAGACACACGUGUAGAGCAUUCAAACUUCCGCAACGUACCAAAUCUCGUUGGUCAAGGAUACUUUAAAAGGAAAGGAAGCAGAGGGAUUUGUAAGUAGGACUUAAAGAAAACAGUCUCUCCCUCUCUCUUUACCUUUCAUUGGAUGUAUUAAAUUUGAUUAAACUUUUGAUUUUUUAUUUUGUUAUGUGUAGUCCACUUGCUUUAUGGCGCUCAGUUUGAUAUCAGCAGCAAACAUCUGGGAGCAGCAAACAUUCGGUUACCUGACCCUAUAGUUUCAUAUCAAAUUAUCCAUUGAUCGCACAGUUUCUAGGAUAACUUGUUUGAUUAAAAUCUUCAAAUCAUUCUUUGAGAGUUUUGGCAUAAACACAUUUGAAGCAAUGACCUUCUCAGUGGUGGUCUUCUGCCUGGACAAGGUGUGCAUUGAAAUGUGACCAUCUACAAAAGCUUUUGUAUUUUAGAAGCAUUUCAUAAUUUAAAUUUUUCAACUGUGAUUUACUUGGUCAAUCAGAUACAUGGAUUUGUUGUCGAUGGCAGCCACCUAAGAAUAACUUUUAUUGCUUGAUCUGUCCAUGCACUAUGAAAAUGCCAAAUAUGUUAUCUUGCUCAGAUUUUAAUUACCAUUUAGACCGAUCAAAGUGACUCUUAGUUUCUUACCUUCUUUUUGUACUAUAAUCUUUCAUGACCAAGUAACCUAUGAUUUGCAGAGAAGAGAUGGCUUUUAAUUUUUGAAAUGUUCAUCAAUCUUGAUUUACUUUCUGGAAAUCUUCAUCUUGUUUACUAAUAAAUGAACUACAUUAAUUAAAAAGAAAAUAUCUACCCAUACAGCGGGAUAAAUCCUUCUAUAUACUUAAAUGGUAAAACUAUGCAAGUGUUGAACAUUAAGAUCUUAUUUGAACUGUCACAAAUGUUUUGCACAAAUCAAAUUAGCAGAGAAUCAUAAUGGUACAAGGACAAUCCUAUAUCAUGAUUAAUGUCUUAGUUUUUGGUUUAUGGCAUCCUAGAUUCAUUUUGAACUAAUUUGCUAAUCUUUUAUUUGAAGAUUUGAAGAAUCAUAAACUGUCAUCUUAGAUUCCAUAGCAAACAAUAUGAUGCAGCAACUUCUUGACCAGAUCCUAUGCGUCGUGAUAUCAUCAGAUAUUAUGAAAAAUCGUUUUGCCUAAUGUAGAUGCCUAUGUUUAUGUAAUUUCUGCAUUGGCCGGAUCCUAUAUGCUAAACACUAGUUUUUAAUAUGCUAAAAGCUUUCUGUUUAAUUCCUAUUCAACUUGCAUGUAGACGUUCACCUUUUCUUUUUAUUUGAUACUAACUGCUUAUUUUUUUGUGUCAUCUAGAUUUUUGGACGUUAUUAUCUCUCGAUCAGAACGGAGUUAACAACAUGACAGAGACUUCAUUAUCAUUGCAUUUGGGCAGUCGUAUUUUCAACCUUUGCAGCCUAACAUACAGCACCAUUUUUUUACAUCGUCUUC
rnacentral:lncRNA from 1 species